rnacentral:rRNA from 1 species
UACGUAGGGGGCAAGCGUUGUCCGGAUUUAUUGGGCGUAAAGAGCGUGUAGGCGGCUUGGCAAGUCCGCUGUGAAAGUCGGGGGCUCAACCCUCGAAUGCCGGUGGAUACUGUCGGGCUAGAGUGCGGAAGAGGCGAGUGGAAUUCCUGGUGUAGCGGUGGAAUGCGUAGAGAUCGGGAAGAACAUCGGUGGCGAAGGCGGUCUGCUGGGCCGUUGCUGACGCUGAGGCGCGACAGCGUGGGGGAGCAAACAGG